rnacentral:rRNA from 1 species
AUGAACGCUGGCGGCGUGCCUUAAGCAUGCAAGUCGGACGGGAUUUUGGAGUCGCAAGAUUUUGAAUUCCAGUGGCGGACGGGUGAGUACAAGCAAGGAACGUACCCAAAAGUAUCCGGAUAGCUCGUCGAAAGACGGGGUAAUACGGUAUGUGGACGCAAGUCUAAAGGGAUUAACCUCCCGCUUAUGGAGCGGCCUUGUGCCUAUCAGCUAGUUGGCGGGGUAAAAGCCCACCAAGGCGACGACGGGUAGGGGGUGUGAGAGCACGACCCCCCACAAUGGCACUGAGACACGGGCCAUACAUCUACGGAUGGCAGCAACUGGGAAUAUUCGGCAAUGGGCGAAAGCCUGACCGAGCGACGCCGCGUGAGGGAUGAAGUAUUUCGGUAUGUAAACCUCUUUUGACCCGCCAUGAAGGUGGGUAGAAUAAGCAUCUACAAACUACGU